GAGCUUGGCGUUCAAGGCUUAAGAGGGAAAAGAAAGGUGGGGCAAUGGCAGCGAGAGGCAAUGGUGUCAAAACAACUUUUAGGCCCAACAGGGACAUGCGUGAUCACAUUGAGUUGACUGGCAGAUCAAAUGAUGACUUGAAGAAGCUAAGCGAGAUAGGUGGACAUUUGGUGUGUGUAUUUAUCAGCAUGCCACUAUAUACAAGCAAUGUAACUGAAGGAGCAGUGGAUGAGAGAUUG
rnacentral:lncRNA from 1 species